rnacentral:rRNA from 1 species
AUGGGUUGCAAUAACAAGGUCCAAGCGACUGUUUAUCAAAAACACAGGUCUCCGCGAAGUCGAAAGACAAUGUAUGGGGGCUGACGCCUGCCCAGUGCCGGAAGGUUAAAGAAGCUGGUUAGCAGUAGCGAAGCUAGUGACUGAAGCCCCGGUGAACGGCGGCCGUAACAAUAACGGUCCUAAGGUAGCGAAAUUCCUUGUCGGGUAAGUUCCGACCCGCACGAAAGGCGUAACGAUUUGG